GGACGAACCCUUGGAGAGAUCCAAUGUGCAUAGCACAAAAUGGACGCCGAAGGCGCAAAAGUGCGGUCUAAAAUUCAAAAAUUUUACCGAUAUCUUGAAACGCUCAGGCAAAAGGACAGGGGCAAGAGA
rnacentral:ncRNA from 2 species